rnacentral:rRNA from 1 species
GUGCCAGCAGCCGCGGUAAUACGGAGGGUGCGAGCGUUGUCCGGAAUCAUUGGGUGUAAAGGGUGCGUAGGCGGGCUGCUAAGUCUGGGGUGAAAUCCUGCCGCUUAACGGUAGAAUGGCCCCCGAUACUGGCAGUCUUGAGUACAGAAGAGGUCGGUGGAAUUCGUAGUGUAGCGGUGAAAUGCAUAGAUAUUACGAAGAACACCAGUGGCGAAGGCGGCCGGCUGGUCUGUAACUGACGCUGAGGCACGAAAGCGUGGGGAGCGAACAGGAUUAGAUACCCUGGUAGUCCACGCUGUAAACGAUGUAUGCUAGGUGUCGGCCUUUCGGGGUCGGUGCUGCAGUUAACGCAGUAAGCAUACCACCUGGGGAGUACGUCGGCAACGAUGAAACUCAAAGGAAUUGACGGGG